rnacentral:lncRNA from 1 species
AGGGGUACGGUGCUACUUGGUCCUAAUGUUUUGGAAUGCUUUUCCGUCGUUGUUACUCCAUUGUUACUCUCUGUUCUAUGACACUGAGGGAGACUGCUCACUUAGGUGUGGUGUCACAUAGGACUCCAGCUUUGAUGUGCUGUGCGGGUGGUGUGAUUAUCAUCUCUGACCUUCUGAAGCCAGGGGUGGUACCCAUCCCUAGCUCAGUCUAAUUAAAUCUUUCCUCCCUGUCAAGUGAUUGCUUUGGGUGGUUUUAACAGGAGUAGUCCAGUCUGGAUAUUCUAUUUUCUUAAUUACAUAGAAAAGGCCCGUGCAGCACUAGCUGCAGACAGAUAACACAUUUAACAAUUUUGGUUCCUCUUCAAAGCCAAAUAGACCUAUGUUGAUUAAACUCCAAGAGGGUACAAUUCAGCAUUAAAUUAAAAUUUGAGUUGUGAAUUUGAGAGGGAAUUUCAGUAUAGUUGAUAAAGUUAAGUGGCAAGUGAGUAUUUAUAAAAGUUAUAAGAGAAUAAUUGUAAGUUUCUGUACAACAAUUUGGCUACUGCCUCAUAAAUACAGGAAGAGACCGUAGCCCUGAAUCCGACUCUCUCACCUCCCACAUACCUUGGACUACCUGCCUAAUAUGUAUUUGAGGGGGUUUAACCCUUGGUUUUAUCAAAUUUUCUAGUUUUAUUUUAUUUUUAUAAAAUAAUUGAAAAAGAACCAAAAAGGAAUCCAGAAGUUCCCCAGUGGCUCCUCCCCCAGUCUUAAUCCCCUCCCCCCCACACACACACACACACUCAAAUGUUUUAGAAGACAUUUUGAAUCAAAAUGUAUUCCACCCAUUUAACGUUUGCUACUUUCUGAGAAGUGGAGUGGCUACGAGGGCCUGUUUCAGAUGGUACUCUGUAUGUCAUGGACAUGUUUGUACCUGUACAGUGGAUCUGUGUGACGACGUCUUGUGCUUGCGGUUUAGAAACCACGCAGUGCUGUUUUGUAAAUUGACAGUUUCUGUGUAAACUAUUAUUUAUAUCCCUUGGCCCCUCUGUAUAAUUUUUCAUUUGCUACAUGGAUUGUAUAAUUAAUUAUAAAAUUAUAGUACCUGCUAAACCCAAUUCUGAGGCUUCAUGUCAUUGUCUUUGGUUUGAUACCAGUCUGAUCGGGAGGCUGCCCAGGCCUUGCGCAAUACCAGUAGUGAUGUUACUUAAAGUUAAGCCUUAAUCAGACAGUGAAUUUGUGCAUUUCAGAGUAUGC